GACUAGAUGAUCUUUUGACGUCCCUUCCAACCCCCAACAUUCUGUGAUUCUGUGAUUCUGUGUAGUAUAGCUGUGCUCACCAUGGAAUAAAAAAUGUCUUAACUUGUGUGACAGAAAGCUCCAAAUGGUGCAGCUUAAUAUAUAAAUAAAAGGCAGGAAUAUAAAGAGCUCAGUGUAUUAUAUGGAAAUUUAAACAUUUUAAUAGCUGCUAAAUGACAACUCAACAUAAAGAUUUUGGGUGAAUAGCAGGCAAAUAGAUGGUGUUGAUGUGAAGUGUGCAGUACAUUGAAAUGUAUGCUAAUGCAAGUUGUGGUCAGAUUCUUAAUAAAAGAGCUAAUUUGGUACAUGCAUCUCUUUCACUGCUAGCAAUUAAUAAGAAGUAGGGAAAGCUAGACAAAAAACAGGUUUUAUAUUGCAGAGCCUGGUGUAAUUCGUCUUCAGCUCAGUGACUUCAGAUUAAUUCUGCAGCUUAUAAGGACGUGGCCCUGUUGGUUUUCUUUAAUAUUGUCCACAGGUAAAUCAGCUUCUGAAUAUUAUGUGUUACAUAAGGAAACCAAUUUCACCUGUCGGGCACUGUAGAUCCUCAAGUACAUACAAAGAUACAUCUUGAACAUAUAUUAGUCCAUCUGUGUGGAAGGAGGUGUCUACUGAAAAAAAAAAAAAAAGAGAACCUACAGGAAGAAAUAUUGUCAACUGUAUUAGAUUCCUUAAAAAGGUAAACCACACCAGUAAGACCAGGGUUCUCUCUAUUUGCAGUGCCUUUUCUUGUAAGACCACAACAAUUUUAUUUGAUAAAAUAAGAUAUGACGAAAUGGCGUAUUUGGAGUCAUACAGGCCUUUAAACAAAGUGAAUACUUCAAUUAACUCUCAAGUUUUUUAUAACUGAAACCUGAAUUUGGACAUGGUAUUUUAAAGUGCUGGAAUUUGCCUCCACUAUAAACAUAUGAAAAGACUGAUCCCUGACAUUUACUGCUUCACACUUCUAAACAUUUAAAAAACAGGUCAGAUGGCAAAUUUGGUAAGGCAAGGAAAGAUGAAAAUCUUUUACCACUUUUUUUUUUUUCUGUCCAAAGUACUUUGUUCAGUGUUGGAACAGAGUCUUUUUUCAUUGCAGAAGGAAGGUAAGUCCCAGCCAAAAUGUACCAAAAUGUACCAACGUGGUGUCUGCUGAGUGAGCAUGCAAAGCAAACACUGGUGUUUUGAUUUUAUAAUCUCAACCCAUCUUGCAGUCUCAAAUAUCCUUCAGUUUUCAUUCCUUCUCAAAACCUUGUUAUUUCUGUCAUGGUGGGCCAGUCUCUGCUUGCAUGGAAGUGAAACACCUACUGUCAUAUUGUCUGCAUUCAGGAGUUAAGCUGUUUGUUCUGGAAAACAAUUAUCUGCAGCACAGGAUCUUUGGUAUCUAGUUUACCUGUUUUGUUCACUGUUUUAAUAUGGAUUUUUUAUAUGGAGACAGAUUUUUUUAACAUGGCCUGUUGGAAUAGGAUGAUGGGUAAUAGUUUUAAACUAAAGGAGGAAAGAUUCAGACAAGACAUGAGGAAGAAAUUUUUUACAGUGAGGGUGGUGAAACACUGGCCCAGGUUGCCCAGAGAGGUGGUCGAUGCCCCAUUCUUGGAGACAUCCCAGGCCAGGCUGGACGUGGCUCUGAGCAACCUGAUCUAGUUGAAGAUGUCCCUGCUCAUGGCAAGGGGGUUGGACUAGAUGACCUUCAAAGGUCCCUUCCAACCCAAACCACUCUGAUUCUGUUAUUUUUAAGAGCACAGAGCUGAAUCUGACCAGUUUGGCAUCUCUGGGCAUGGUAGAGGCCCGUGAGGACCUGUCUUGCUGCCGUGCUCGGCCCUGCCUCCUGUCCCUCAGGGCACAGGCAGUCAUGGACCCCCAGGAUGCCCCUUGCUGAGAGAGGACACAGGUGUCAGGGCCCAGCUCGUUCCCUCUCCAUGGGUAGAAUCAUAGAAUGUCCUGAGUUGGAAGGGACCCACAAGCAUCAUUGAGUCCAACUCCUGUUCCUGCAUGUGAUAAGCCCACAGUUCACACCAUGUGUCUGAAAGUGUUGUCCAGUCUCUUCUUGAACACUGUCAAGCUUGGGGCUGUGAAAUCUCCCUGUGGAGCCUGUUACAGUACUCCAGCACCCUCUUGGUGGAGAACCUUUUUCCAGUGCCCAACCUAAACCUCCCCUGGCACAUCUUCCUGCCAUUCUGUCGGGUUCUGUCAUUCGUUGCUAAAGAGAAGAGUUCGGUGCCUGCCCCUCCUCCUCCCCUUGUGAGGAAGCUGUAGCUGCCAUGAGAUCUCCUCUCAGUCUCCUCCAGUCUCCUCUUCUCCAAGGUCUGGCUGCUGAGGGUGCUCUGGCCACUGAGGGUGGCCAUCAUUCCACCGGGCUGGGGAGAAGCCCAGCCAGGCAGUGGGGAGGCUGGGGCCAGGUCUUGCCUCAGCCCUGGGGAGCUGCUCUGGGCUGAGCAGGACCCUCAUGGCUCCCUGACCCCUACUUCAUUCCUGAUUUUCUACUGAGGGAGUCGCCCUGCGUGGGAGCAGAAGGUGAGGGGUGUGGACUAAAUUUUUUUGCAAAGUAGCUAGCGAAGAUGUUGGGAAUGUGCUGGUAAAGAGGUGAGAGAAGUGUCUGGCAUUGUGGUAACCAAAGUGUCCUUUCAUCUGAAAAAUACAGGGAAUACUGGAGAUGAGUGGCAGGGCAGAAGUGGAUUUUCUAGAAAUUUCUGCCCUGUUGUUACAAUGGCCAAACCCCGGAGCUCAGCCCUCCAGACCUUGGGGGACACGUUUUCCAUGUGGGCCACAGCACCCACUGAGUUCCGAGCUCCAGAUGCUGAUUUAUGUCCCCCUGUGCUAGAUACAAGCGAUGAACCACCCUGAGAUCCGAGCUGUUCCAUGCUGGCUGGUAAAAGGCACCUUCAGUAAAAGGGCAUAGGCUGGAGGACUAACCUUGAGCUGCCAAAAUCGAGAUACAUCAUGAAAGAGAAGCCUGAGCCUUGAAAAGAAGGAUACGGCUGCUUUAUAUGUCUCCUUCAGGAAAGGUCUAGGACUCUUAAAAUCUGUGGUAGACAGAACAACCUUCUUGUAGACAUUGAAUAAUGGAAUCCAAAUAUUAGUAUCCGUGUAGUAAAACUGAUAAGAUUGUAAGAGUAUCAAAGCAGGAUCAGAUUACAAGGAAGUAACACUUCAGGUUUCCAGUCUCCCACUGAGCUCAUGUAAAGUUUUAGAAGACAUAACAUGCUGUGAUAGAAAUCCUGUGGACCUGUCAUGUUCUGCUUCUUUUUGGCUGGCCUGUUUGCUGUUCAUCUCUUGAAUAAGUUCUAACAUUGAUGUUUUAAUCUGAAUUCAGCUGAUACAUAAUAUCCUUGCAAUGAAUAAAAGCUACAACAGGAGUACAUUGCUUGACUUCCAUUACCUGAGAUGAGCUUGGCCGAGUUAAAGGAAACCUCGUUCAGAGAGCAGGCCUGGACACAGAAGCUCAUGUGUUUGCCACACUACUUCUGGAGGACCGUUUUACUGCAUCGAACUAUGACGUCAACUCCCAGUAACAACUUAAUAGAUCAAGUCUUAGAUCUUGAGUUCUGGAGUCCAACCAUUGCAACAACUGCUUCUUUUAAAGCACUGCAGACCACAAAACCAAGGAGGCAUUUCAUGAGAUUGGGAACAAAUACUCUGUGUCAUUCUGAUUGGGAGGAAACCCCACAAAACAUCAGGCAAGUACAGGGUUUGCCUGCAUUCACAAAAUACCUUAAAAUCUUGGUUUGUGUGAAAGUAAUUACUACUUUUAAAAAAUUUAUUUUUAAUAGAAGGAAGGAAUUAGAGGGAAAUGUUAGAAGUUUUAUUGAACUAGUCUUGCUGAUAGAGAAUUAGAAAAGCUUAUGGGUGGAUCACCUUUCCUCCAGGCUCAUGACUGAAUGCUUUUCUUAAUUUUUCUCUCUGCAUUAGUUACUCUUCUUAAAUUAUCUUCUCACUGUUCAAACAUAUUUCUUGUUCCAAAUAAUUUACUUUAUUUUCACACCUGCCAGCCUAACCUGCCUCAAUUUACUCUACAUUCCCAGUAGAAUCAUUGCUAAUGCAAUGCUAAUGCAAUGCUAAUCAUUUUUGUGCUGACACUUUUACCAGCCAGCUGAACAAUUUUUGUAACUGUUUAAAAUGUUCUUCAUCUUAUGAAUUUCCUUUAAUAGCUAUUGUUUUCAAAAGUAAUCAUACUUACAUAAAUUACAAGUUUUUAACCAGUAAAACAAAAAACUAAAACAUAUUUAUUUCCAAGUUUUGAAGACAAAAGUUUAACAAAAAGAUAUUUUUAUUUAGGACUACUGCAGUUCAGAUUUUUCACUUUCCACAUAUUCAGAAAUGCACCUGAACUGAAACAUCAUUUCAGAAAGCUGGGCAAUACAGCAGUUCCAAUUUGUAUUAUAACAAAUGUCCAAUUCUAGUCUGUGGCUAGAGUGUGGAAAGACUGAGGAAAAAUUUUUUGAAAGGGAAUUCUCUGGAUACUUCAGAAACAAAAGUAUGUAAUUUUUUCUCUUUUAGACAAAAGAUAAGAGAAAUUUUUUAGCAAGAUGUAGAUUAAGGGGACCUGGUUCUUACAGAACCUUUGAAGAAUCCUGUGGAGGGCAAUGUAGUUUUCUAAGAGAUCUGUUUGUAGAUCAAAUUCUGCAAUUAUUUAUUUGCACAGGUGAAUGUGAGGCCAUGAAUUUAAGGCCAGAAUUUGGCUUGCAGUAACAUUAUUAUUCUUGAUGAGUCACAAGAAAGAACUUAGCUUGACCUUUAGAUCAGAUUGCAUUUGAAGGGGUAAGAUUCAGAGGAGCCAUCUCUUUGCGCAAGCCUUAUAUGUGAUUUUGAGCCAAACUAAGCAUAAAUGUAUAAAACUGUGUUGAAGAUCAAGAGGCAAUCAGACUAACAGAGACAGACUAAGGGGAAACUAUGACUUCUUUAAGAUUAAAUAAUUUAUUUGAAAGUUGGUAGAAAUCACCUCCCAGACUAUACCAUAUUCAGGUUUAACUCAUUGCCUUGGUGCAAAGGCCCCAAUUCAUUUUGUAUCAUGAUGCUCUGAAGCAGAAAAACAAGGCAUAAUGUAAUUCAGUUUAAUUACAAUUCUCUCCUCCCAAAUGUACUCAUUUCUGUAGUCAAGAAACUUGGCUCAGUUCUCAGACUUGCUGAGAACCACAAGAACAUGACGCAAGUCAGUCUGUGCCAUAACAAAGAAAUGUAUACUGAUGCAAUGGAUACCCAACAAACCUCCCACAAAGAACUUGUGCCUUGAAAUGACUGAAUUCCCUGACAUAUGAAACACAGGGCUUGAAGGAUAAAGGGGGGCCAAAUAUCUCCAUGCAGUGUCUCCAUUUAAUCAGCAAAAUGACCCUGAGACAAUUUUACUUGAAGUGCUUUGUUAAACUUGGAUAAUUUUGCUUAGAUCAACAGAAGGAAAUAAGGAACUCGUUAGAAAGUAGAAAAACAUUCAAUUGUACAGAUUGGAGUUCUCAGAGCAGCAGAUCCUCAUCACCAGGCACAGAAACAAAGUCAAACGUUUCCCUCUACCCUGUUACUGAGCAGCUAUAUAUACAGCAGCUUGUAUAAAUGUUUUAGAAAGGAUUGUGAUAGCCUAGGAUUCAUAUUUCUUCAUAUCAGACAUGAGAGGUGAGAUAACAAUUUUUAAAAUUUGUGAAGGAACAAAGAUUCCAUCAAUUUGAAGGAGAGAUGUUGCUUUCAGCCAUCUAGAAGACAUGUCUCAAAAAAUUUAGAAGCCUGGUGUGUGCCUUAGGUAUCUAAACUGAAUGAGCAAUAUACAAUUCUUAGUUCCCUGAUUAAACAGAAGGACAACAGGCACUUAUUUACCACUAGUGAAAUUACUUAGUCAUCUCGAACAUUGCUGCCUCACACACCCUGAUAUAUUUUUAUUAGUAUUGCAUAAACAACACUCAGCAGUUUUUGCACACCUAAAUUUCCUGAAGUAGGUUAUCCCAUGAGCAAGUUUCAUGAGUGACAUAGACUAAGAACAUAGCUCCUACAUACUUCACACUUCACCCAUGGCAACUCCAGCCACCUUAACUGAAAACAUGAAACUGAUUAAGUUAGUUCCACCAGAAUUUUGUACAGUAAACCUAUAGGUCAAGAGACUCAUUCAGGAAUGGCAGCCUGUGGUUCAGCAAUGCUCUGGAUGUACUGCAAAUUUCCCAUGAAAACCAGAAUUUGUGGUACCACUAUUUGCUGAAUUGCAAAUGAUUUUCUUCUAAAUACAUUAACAAUUCCAGGGAAUGUAGUCAACAGCAAUAAGUUAUUUAUGGACAUUUUCAGGUUACAUGGUGUACCAAUGAGCCUAGGACUCCCAUUUCUUGCACAGAUGCUCUCACCAUUAGGCUAUUUAAAAAAAUGUGGCAUCACCAGGAUGUGUCCCCAUCUUUUAAAAGAAAUGAGUCACCACACUUCCACAUCAAAUGGAAAAGUUAAGACAAGGAUGGGUUUGAGACUGUUACCCACAUUUUCAUACAAGUAUCUGGUGUGGUGUUGCAGACAGUGCCUGAAUCUAGAAUCAAAGUGGCUGUUCAUUCAUCUUUCUCCAUCAUUGCUCCUGUUUGAUAGUGUAGAUGUCUUCUUCUUCAAUGUACUGGCUUCUGUGAAUCCUGUUAUCAAGAGUGUAACUCACAGCUGUACUCUGCGAUUCAAGAAUUCAGUGUCUAUUUUCACUUAAUUAAGGCACUUCAACCAUAGGUUAACUGGUUAGUGAAUAAAUUAGAGGUCCACCUGUCACCACUAACUUUUGGGUUAAGAUUUUUGGCUUUAAGUGAUGGUAAAUUUCUUUGGUCGUCACUUCCAGGUAAGUGGAACCCAUUAGCUUUGCUGAGGUGAGUCUGGAGGAGCAUGUAUCAACUCAUCUAAAUGCUCUGAACUUCUGACCUUAAAUACAGAUCUGAAAGUCUCUGGGGAACAGAUGGGCACUAGAGAAGUCCAGCAAACAGUGCUUUCAGUCUAACAGGAAAUACUGAAAGAAUGGACUUUCUGUAACAGUGGUUAUUUAUAAUUCAGUUAAAACCAAGAAGAUAACUUCAGGAAAAUGAAAAGUUAAAAGAAAACAGUGACAUUUUUUUUAAUCAAGAAAAUAUGAGGACUGGUCACAUUUUCAGCAAUCCAAGGCAAAUGUGAAUACCUUAUUUAUGCUUCAAAGCAUGUAUAAAAUUUAUCUAGAGACAUUAAAUGCUCCAUUUAAAAGAACACCUCAUAAUAUAUUCCUUUUCAGGAGUAACUGUUGAGAGCCUAAACAUUCCUUUCUGUGGGGCUACUAUGCUUAAUUCUUUAAACAUGUUUUAGAACAGCUAUACUUCUACUGCAAAUGUGAACUCAGCUGUGGGUGGUAAAUGGUAGAGGUAUUUUCAGUUUAUUUGAAAUACUUGACACUUUUUGUUUGCCUUGGGCUUCAACCCCCCAUAAGUGAGUGAAAUGGAUGAUCUUAGGGUUACUGACUCAUAUUUCCUGUCCUCAUGAUAAUAAAACAGAGUAAUAACAAAUAUGGAGAAAUUAAGAAACAACUUGGGACCAAUAAUAAGUUGAGGUGCCUUCAAGAAAAACAAUGAUUUUCAAAAAUAAAUACUUUUAUUUCAUUUUGGAGCCUGACUGCAGCAUGAAAUUGAGUGAAUUCUUUCUCCUUAAAAUUAGCAGCCAACAGGAAGGCAGCACCUGGAAUAUUUUAAAAUAAAUACCUUUAAAGAAAUACAGAGUCUUUCAUCCUUGGGAAAAAGGAAAGUGCCUGUGUGAGUGGGCAAAACACAGGAAAUUGGAUUGUUAUGGGGGUUAUUAAGCCUGCAUUAUGAGUCUACUUUCCCUACAGAAAGACAGAGUGCAAUUCAAAGCAUAAACCAACAUUCAUUGUAGGCAUUUGCCAAACAUCUCAGAAGGGACUGCAGCACAGUCACAUCUAUAUACAAUAAAAGUGAACAUCGUUUUUCUGCUUCCGCUGUCUUCAAUGGUUAUCUUCCAAUGUGGACUCCACACCAAAGCUAACAAGGAUUUACUGUGCUUUGGUAAAGCCAUGCUCCCUUUGGUCACCUGUAUUGUUGUCCCUGCAAUAAAUUCAGAAGAUUGUGGGAGAGCAUUAGAGGGAAGACUGGAUGAAGGAUGCUGCCAAAUGCCCAUUUUGUAUUAUCAGCUGUUGCUUAGCUUCACUGGCAGCGAAGCAGAAUAAGAACAUACACAUUCAUAGAUAUUCAUAGCUAUUUUUUCAUCCUACAUUCUUUCCUGCAAAGAUGGAUUGACUUGAUUUUUAUUCUGUUGUCCUUUCUUAUUGUUGUUCUUAUUAUUUGUUGCAUUUAUGAUUAAAGCAUAGAAAUAUUGGCUGGAAGAAACUACGGAGGUCAACCAGUCCACUAUCUCACUUGGAACAGGACUUUUGCCAAUACUAGAUCAAAACAUCAGUUGUUUUGUACGGUGAAGUGUUGAAAACCUCCCAGGAUGGAGAUUCCAUGUCCUCUUUUGACCAACCUGUUGCAGUAUUGUAGUACCCUACUAGUGAAGAAGUUUUUCUGAUGUCCAGUCUGUACCUUUCAAACCCUAAUUUGUGGCUGAAGGUUUUGGUUUUUAGUCUGCCACUAUAUCAAAGAGUUCAGCUUCAUUGUCUCUGUAACUCCUUCAAGUAGUUAUGGGCAGAAAUUUUUUUUGUCUUGGUUUUGGAGAUCAGAAUGAACAGAAGAUUUAUUCUUUCUGGAAUAGUGAAUGAAAAAAGUUCCUGUGAUCUAACAAUGCUACCUGCAGGUCCUUGAGACAUUUUGCCAUAUGCCACAUCUUCUCCAGGAGAGGCUGCUUCACACAUGUUGCGAGCCUAGUAGCAAAAAAAAGAGGAUUUGAAGUGAAAUAUUCUGCUGCAUGAGCCCAGGAACAAGGAUUUGAGACUGAAAAGCUAUGAUGGCUUUUUACUUGCUAUUACAUACAUAGAUCCAAAAUGCAUUUUCAGAGUAUGGACUGCUCUCAGUGAUGCAACCAAAUCUGACUUUACACUUGAAAGAAGCAAUAAGAUAUUGUGACAUGUUAGGAUAUCAGUAGUGUAUGGCAGUACAGUAUUUGUACUAUUGUUGAGAAUCAUCUCCUCUCUGAUGGACAUUUUAGUUAUUCCCACUCAGGGCAAUUGCUGUGGUUUAACCCCAGCUGGCAACGAAGCACCAUGCAGCCACUCACUCACUGCCUCCUCUGGUGGGAUGUGGGAGAGAAUUAGAAAGGCAAAAAGAGAGAAAACUCAUGAGUGGAGAUAAAGACAGUUUAACAGGUAAAGCAAAAGUUGCACACACAAGCAAAACAAAACAAGGGAUUAAUUCAGCUCUUUCCAUCAGCAGGCAAAUGUUCAGCCAUCUCCCGGAAAGCUGGUCUCCAUCAUGUGUAUUGGUGACAUGGGAAGACAAACACCAUCACUCUGAAAGUCCCCCUCUUCCUUCUUUUCCCAGCUUCUAUACUGACCAUGAUGUCAUAUGGUGUGGAAUAUCCCUGUGGACAGUUGGGAUCAGCUGUCCCAGUUGUGUCCCUCUCCCAGCUUCUUAUGCACCCCUGGCCUGCUCACUGGUGGGGUGGCGUGAGGAGCAGAAAAGGCCUUGAUUCUGUCUAAGCACUGCUCAGCAACAACUAAAACAUCCCUGUAUUAUCAACAGUGUUUUCAGCACAAAUGCAAAACAUCACCUCAUACUAGCUACUGUGAAGAAAAUUAACUCUAUCCCAGCCAAAACCAGCACCACACUGGAAUAGAAUCAUAUCAGGUUUCACCCCAUGAAGAGUAAAUAUAUUGGCUUUCAAUUCAAACUGCAGAGUAUGUAAUUCUUCCCAAUAUUUUUUGGAAAUGGAAAUUUGUUAUAGCACCGGGUGAUGAGAGAAUCCCAGCUUGAGGUGAAAGGUGCCGUGCUUUGGACAUUGUCUCAGCUGUAUACAUAUUGUUUAUAUGUGCACAUUUUCAAACGAAUAAUCUUUGAGAAGGCAUAUUAAGGGCUGUAAGACAUUAUUGCAACAGGGCCCAUAUACUGAAUAGCAGCAAUGUGUACUCCAGGGAACUGUCAUCUCCUCUUUACAAACCCAUUAGACAAAGUCCAUCUGCUAACACUGGCUCCUCAAAGAUGUAAGGGAACAGUUGACUCACUGAAAGGUCUGUCCAACAAACCCCUAGCUGCAUGCACUGCAUACAACAGACAUCCUUCUGGGGCUAACCAUAAACUCUGUAUCUUGUGGGCUGUGAUACUUGAAUUAUGUUUAUUCUGUUACUCCCUCAGCCAGUCUCUCAUGCGCUCUUUACCAAAAAAUGUCUGAUACCCCUCUUUCUUCAGAAAUUAUGAUCCUGCAAAGAAAUUAAAACAUAAUGAAAAAUGAUUCAUUUAAAGUUUUCUAUGAGGAUAAUGAAGGCAGAGGACAAAAAGACUUUUCCUACUUCAUCUUUAAAACAUUUUUUCCAGUUUUCGUGGGAGAGAAUUCAGCAACCGUCAAGAGAAGCAGACAGAAUCCUUAGUGCCAAAGCAAAGUGCCUGUGUUCUCAAGAUCUUAACACUCCUGAAGGGGGAUGUGGAAUAAGUCUUCUGGAGAUGUCAGCAAGACCGCAAAUAGCUUGAGAAGAAUUAAGUAAAAUUUUAAAAUAAUAGACUACAGGUGGCCUGUGGGAAGACCCUCAGUACACAAGGAAUAUGUGUUUGGCUUAUACUAAGAAGCCUUGCAGCUGUGUUUUUAAUAUAAGCCGAAGUCUGGGAUGUAACAAAAUUUAGUUAGAUGGCAUGUAAAAUGGAAUGAUAGCAGUUGUAGCAUAUAAUUAUAUGAUUAAUUUGGCAAUCUUGGAUGCAUUUGAUACUUUUUUUUUUCCCCACUGCACUAUUAAUGCUUGAUGAGUAAUGUAUAUGUAAACUCAUAAUUCAUAUCCACAUUACAGGAAAAGGCUGAUCUGAAAUAGAGGCAGGAUCAGAUAUCAAAAUCAAGUAAAAUUAAAGAUAAUUUCAAUCUCUGAGUCCUAAUUUUCAAAAGUUAUGCAGGUUUGAAAAAGGAUUACAAAUGCUGAACAUAAUCAGUGUAUUUAGUACAAAUUGUCAUAUUGGAUUCCUGUCUUCCAGAAAAACUGACACAAGCAAGGAUUUCAAGUUUGGCAACCAUGUGCCCCGUGUCCAUCCUCACAGUCCCCAGCCCCAGAAGGAUAAUUCUUAAACCUACAAUCUAUCCUGUGCAGGCUUUUUUCCCCCUGAAAGACUAUCCAAUUACUUGAUGCUGUGCUGGGAGUACCUGGGGAAGUAGUAAAAGGAAAUACAACCAAGAGCCACUGUGGUUUGACUCCUCUCCAGAUACUUUGAAAGUAUUUUGGCAAAAACAAGAUUUUAAGUAAAACUGUUUCCUUUGGUAACAUACCCAGAACUACAGGUUUUACAUUUUUGUGCUUAGUACGGAAGGCCAAAAAAAAAAAAAAAAGAGAGACCAAAUAAACCCAGCCCUUGUGUGAGAAGGUUGUACACGUGGUAGUAAUAUUGCUGGGGAAGAAACAGAGAGAAAGUGGGGGAAUUUUGAACACGAUGCAGAAAGAAGGAGAGAAUCCCUUGAGUAUCUUAGACUUUUAAAUAGUGAUAGGAGCAGCACGAUGGCUUGUUCAUCAAAGGAUGACUGUGAUAAAAGAGAAGAAAACCAUUAUUUCUUUUUCACUGUUUUGUUGUCAAGUACUGUCAAUGAGGGAGCUCUUGAAUUAACAAUGAUAUAUUGGAUUUCCUUUUUCAUAUAGGAGGUUCCUUAGACAACUUCUGAUUACUUUUUCUGGACUUCAGGACUACUUACUUCCUUUAGAAGACCUUUGUGUUUGUUUGGCUGCUGGUGAUUACAAACUGCUUGGUUGCAUACACAAAUUCUAAGUCUCUUACAUUUGCAGUUCCAUCACUCCCAUGUCCUGUACACUUCACUUACAAGUAGCGUAAUGAUUUGCAUUCAAGAGAACAGUGCUAAGUCACUGCUAUUAUUCACCAUAGUUAAUUAGCCAGAUAGGCUUAAUGCCAAUGUUUCUCUUCAGUUAAUCAUUUUCAAAUACAAAGAAGUAAAAUUCCUCACCACAGCCUUCAGACAGAUAUAUAUUUAUAUGUUUCUCUCCAUUUUUGUCGUCUCCAUUUUUGUUCAACUUGUGAGAGAUUUUUUUUCAAAGCUAAAUUUGCUGGUUUUCCUCCAGAAGUGCUCACCUUAUCAGAGCUGGUCUAACUCUUUCUGGUCUUUCUGCUUUCAAUGGAAAUGUCAUGGGUCAACACCUGUUCACAUCACAGUUUUUCUUCAGGAGGAUAAUUCUUCUGUCCUGAAGCCACCUGUUACUGGGCAGGACUCAAAGAGGCCAUUCUUUAAAAAUAGCUGUAGGAUGGAAGUCAGCUUCCGUAGGAUUACACAGGUGCUUGCUUAUAUUCUUGCAAGCUAGAGUGAUAUGGAAAUAUCAUACUGGAAGAAAUUACCAAGCAUGUGAGGUGAGUUUAAAAGAAGUCAGAAGACAGGACUGCAAUUCAAGAACAAAAAAGGAAGAAAGGGUAUUUAACAAGUGCACUGAGAUGCUGAGGGUUGGAGGCAACUGGGUAUAUUUUGGAGGUAGGUAUUUGAAAAAGCUGUGUUAAGCAAAAGGUAGGAGGUGCACACAGAUACAAGACUCUAAAGGAUGAUGGUGGAGCUGACUUUUGAUAUUUGAAAAGAAAGGCGAACGGAUACAUUUCCUUAAUGAAUAUGCUUGUACUCAUAAGUUUGACUGUAAUUUGAACAAAGACUUUGGAUUGAUACUUACUCAGCUUACCCAGUCAGAACUAAAAUGAAAUGUAAGAGGUUCUUUUCAGGGGGGAGAAAAAUCUACUAACAUGAAACGAUGUAUAAUGCCCAGUAACUGGCAACUUGCCUCUUUCCUGUACCAGGCUCAAUCUUUUUUUCUCAGGGGCUGAGAUUCAUUGUUCUUUGUACCUUGUUGAAUUCCUCAGUUAUUACACACUUAAAUCCAGUAUGUUUAACCAUGUCUGUGUAGCUUAUAUCUAACAAAUCUUCAAUAUGCCACGUGUAGAAACAACUCUUUCUGCUGUUUGACUCUCUUCAACUCAAGUGCCUAUUUUUCUUUUCUUCUUUUUUUCUUUUCUUUUCUUUUCUUUUCUUUUCUUUUCUUUUCUUUUCUUUUCUUUUCUUUUCUUUUCUUUUCUUUUCUUUUCUUUUCUUUUCUUUUCUUUUCUUUUCUUUUCUUUUCUUUUCUUUUCUUUUCUUUUCUUUUCUUUCUUUUCU